rnacentral:misc_RNA from 1 species
ACCAUUUUUUUUUUAUGAAUUUUAGGUAGUGGCCUGUUAAGCCUAAAAAACACAAAGUUGUUGGGGAUUGUGGUGCAAGCCAUUCAGUCACAGCUUGAAUUUUAUUCGCAUUGGCAAACAAACCUACAAAAGAAAAAAUGUGCCCUAAAUAUGCAACUUGCUUUUCUCCAAAAGAUGAUGAGCCCGAAGCAAAGUGAAAACCAACUUAAUGUGCCUCAAAUGGUCUUCCCCUAUUUUUCUAUAAAUUAAGAUGUCAUUGAAG